GUAGGGUGCAAGCGUUAAUCGGAAUUACUGGGCGUAAAGCGUGCGCAGGCGGUUUGUAAGUCUGACGUGAAAUCCCCGGGGCUCAACCUGGGAAUUGCGUUGGAGACUGCAAGGCUGGAGUCUGGCAGAGGGGGGUAGAAUUCCACGUGUAGCAGUGAAAUGCGUAGAGAUGUGGAGGAACACCGAUGGCGAAGGCAGCCCCCUGGGUCAAGACUGACGCUCAUGCACGAAAGCGUGGGGAGCAAACAGGAUUAGAUACCCUGGUAGUCCACGCCCUAAACGAUGUCUACUAGUUGUCGGGUCUUAAUUGACUUGGUAACGCAGCUAACGCGUGAAGUAGACCGCCUGGGGAGUACGGUCGCAAGAUUA
rnacentral:rRNA from 1 species